UGAGAACGCCAACUAUAAUCAAAGAUCCAAAUAAAACCGAUUAUUUAUUAGGUUUGGAUAAUCGUAUUGACCUGACGUGUACAACCGAUGGUAAUCCCAAACCGGGUUAUCUUUGGUAUAAAGACAACCAAAUCGAGGCAAUAAGCACCAGCAACACGUUUACUAUCGAGGAUGUCACUAAACCAAAUGGGGGUAUAUAUACCUGUGUCGUCAGCAAUGCCUUCAAUAACGUCAAUCACAGCAAACGUGUUCAUAUUUAUAUUAGUAUAAUACAUGUAAAUGAAGCCGUCAUUGUGGUUGGCACAGUAUGUGGAUCAAUAAUAGUGGUUCUUUGUGCGAUAUUAUUUGGUGUUAUACAGAACAAGAACAAAUGUCUUCUUAUCAGAAACCGCAAUGACAGAUCAUUAGAUUAUGUUAACGCGAUACAGCAACAAGAUCUGUCGUUGUAUGAAGGAGUCAGUCAUGCUUUAGAUGGACAUCAUUAUGAACAACCUUCAACCGGGGAACAUCAGUACACAAAUACCAACUUAAGCAGUAAUUGAAAAAAGACACUGUGUGAUAAAAACUUGUUAUUUAUCAAAUAAGUAUAU